rnacentral:rRNA from 1 species
UUGAACGCUGGCGGCAUGCCUUACACAUGCAAGUCGAACGGUAGAGGGGCAACCCUUGAGAGUGGCGAACGGGUGAGUAAUAUAUCGGAACGUGCCCAGUCGUGGGGGAUAACGCAGCGAAAGCUGCGCUAAUACCGCAUACGAUCUAUGGAUGAAAGCGGGGGAUCGCAAGACCUCGCGCGAUUGGAGCGGCCGAUAUCAGAUUAGGUAGUUGGUGGGGUAAAAGCCCCA